rnacentral:tRNA from 1 species
GCCUAGCUGGCUCAGUUGGUAGAGCAUGCAACUCUUGAUCUUAGGGUCUUGAGUUUGAGCCUCAUGUUGAGCA